rnacentral:rRNA from 1 species
UGCGUAGGCGGUUUACUAAGUCAGAUGUGAAAGCCCUGGGCUUAACCUGGGAACUGCAUUUGAUACUGGUAGGCUAGAGUAUGAUAGAGGGGGGUAGAAUUCCUGGUGUAGCGGUGAAAUGCGUAGAUAUCAGGAGGAAUACCAGUGGCGAAGGCGGCCCCCUGGAUCAAUACUGACGCUGAGGUACGAAAGCGUGGGUAGCGAACA